UAGUUCAGGCCAAUAAUUUACUUGAGGAUCAAAGCCAAGUGGAGUCAGGGAGUCUGAGCACUCACGAGUUUGGGCCAUAUGGUACCUUUGUUGGUGUCUAUGAUGGUCAUGGAGGACCUGAGACAUCGCGCUAUAUCAACGAUCACCUCUUUCAACAUCUCAAGAGUAAGUGACUUCAAUUUCAAAAUUUUCUAUAUUUAUUUCUGGUAUAAAAGGAGCUUUGUGGUUUUAAAAUUUAUUUUGUUGUUGAACACUACUUUAAUGCGGUUUAAUAAUUGUGGAAGGAAUAUGCGUUUUUCAAUUGUCUUUUGGUAUUUGAGAUCUAUUCUCUAACCUUUUAUUGUUCCUUGUUUUUAUGUUACGUCAGGAUUUACUUCGGACCAGCAGUCAAUGUCAGCGGACGUGAUUAGGAAAGCAUAUCAAGCAACAGAGGAAGGGUUUAUGUCUCUUGUUACUAAACAGUGGCCUAUGAAACCACAAAUUGCAGCAGUUGGAUCAUGCUGCCUCGUUGGAGUUAUUUGUGGUGGAACACUUUACAUAGCCAACCUUGGUGAUUCCCGUGCUGUUUUGGGGAGAGUCGUGAAGGCAACUGGGGAAGUGUUGGCCAUUCAACUUUCAACAGAGCACAAUGCGUGCAUAGAAUCUGUGAGACAGGAGCUGCAAGCUUUGCACCCUGAUGACUCCCAGAUUGUAGUUUUAAAGCAUAAUGUAUGGCGUGUAAAGGGCCUCAUACAGGUAAGUCUGUCUCUGUGCAGAAAAUGGUCAUGUGCAAUAGUUUUUCUGAAAGCUUGGAUAUUUAUAAUUUGUGCUAUAACUUCUCAGUUUCUAUAUGUUGCAAUAUUCUCCAGUUCAUGAUAUUUCUGUAUUCUGGCCUUUGAUAAUCAAAAACAUCAAGUAAAAUUAGAGGACUCGAGUUUUCUAUGCUGUUUGCUUGCUUAUCUUCGACUUCUGUUUGAUUUGCAAUGAUUUGCAGUUCCCUUUUCCUGGCAUAUUAUCCAGGGUCCCAAUGGUAGCCAAGUGAAGGGAUGAAAAAGAAUAUUACUUGAAAAAAAAAGUGUAUUUUAUCGGGUAAAGAAAAGGAGAAAUAUACUGGGUAGAAAGAGCAUAAAGUUAAAUGAAGGUAAUGGAGAAUAAUUUCCUAUAAAAUGAUAGUUCCAAAGGGCUAUAAGAAUUGGUUCAUUUGGAUUUAUGGGGUCAUAAGUAUGAUCAGGUAUGGUUAAGAUAAAAGGUUUCCACCUCUAGCCCAAACAGAUUCCCUCAUAUUAGAUGUAAGUGGAUCAAUAUUUUCAUGGUCAGAGAUGAAGUCGACAGUUACUUUAUAGUGUCAUUGAUGCAAAGUUACUUUAUAGUGUCAUUGAUGGAAACUUUUAUAAAUACUGAAUUAAAAUGUUCAGUAACUUUUGCAAUAUCUAAACAAUUGACUAGCUACAAUAUCAUGAUGUUCAUCAUAAUCAUGGAUUUAUUUCUCAAACUUAAUUUAGUAUCCUUGUUGCAUGCUUUUCUUUUGAUGCAGUAUUUCACUUUUGGUCUUUUGGCUGAUGGUAACAAUCUGUGACCUUUCAGGUUUCCAGAUCAAUUGGUGAUGUAUAUCUGAAGAAGGCUGAGUUCAACCGGGAGCCUUUAUACAUUAAGUUUCGUCUUCGUGAACCCAUAAAAAGGCCUAUUUUGAGUGCAGAUCCAUCAAUUUCAGUGCACCAGCUGCAACCACAUGAUCAAUUUGUAAUAUUUGCAUCUGAUGGGCUCUGGGAACACCUAAGUAAUCAAGAAGCAGUUGAUAUAGUUCAAAAUCAUCCACAGAGUGUAAGAUACAUAUUCUAUGCCAAAAAAUCUGAAUACCUAAAUUAGUUAGAAAGUAAUGACUUUGCUCACGUCACUAUAUCCUGUAGUUUAAACUGUAUGAAGUUUAUGGUUGUCUUUAGAUCUUAGAACCUAUCUUGAUUUGUUGUACAUCCCUGGCAGAGCCAUAAACCCCAUGAGGAUGAUCCUUUUAUGAAUCUAACUAUUUGGUGCUGGCUGAUACUUUAGAUUAUUUUGGUUAGGGUUUUUGUUUUGACUACUCUUACUGCAACUCAUUUACCAUAAAUAUAUUUGUUUUCUCAAAAUAUUUUAUGAGAAGACGGCAAUGGCAAAAUAAAAUGAGACCAGUUUUUAGUUUAGGCUGAUCUACCUUCUGUUAGAAUCUUAUUCUUAUACAUGGUUUUAUACUUUUAUUAUUUUUCUGUGGUCUUAUUUCUUUGCAUACUAUUGUAUGAAUUCGGAAUAAAUGCCGUCAUAAACAUAGGCAUGAAGCUGAUAGUAUAAGUGAUUGUAGGAACUGGAACAAAUACAAAUUUGAGAUGAAAACUAAUUUUCAUUUUCUAACCUUCAUGCAGGGAAGUGCAAGGAGGCUUGUGAAAGCUGCUUUACAAGAAGCAGCAAAAAAGAGAGAAAUGAGAUAUUCUGACUUGAAGAAGAUAGACCGUGGCGUCCGCCGGCAUUUCCACGAUGACAUCACAGUAAUAGUUGUGUUUCUUGACUCGAGCCUCGUGAGUAGGGCUAGCUCAGUCAAGUCCCCGAAUGUAUCGGUGAGAGGGGGUGGGAUCACCUUGCCCCAUAACACAUUAGCUCCUUGCACUAUGCCAACAGAAACUGGUGGUACCUGAUAUGAUUAUGUAUCUCACGUCUCUAUAUGUUGUAUUGUAUCAUUCUCUUGUGUGAAUACCAGCAGGUAGCUUCCAGAAGCGAUAAGAGG
rnacentral:lncRNA from 1 species